rnacentral:lncRNA from 1 species
GAGGUUUGGUUUUGGUUUAUGGGGAUUUGGAUCAUGAGGUUUGUUUUGGUUCAUGGAUUUGGCUCCAUGAGUUUGGUUUUGGUUUCAUGGGUUUGGUCCAUGAGUUUGGUUUUGUUCAUGGGUAUUGGUCAUGAGGUUUGGGUUUUAGUUCAUCGGGAUUUGUCCCAUGAGGUUUGGUUUUGGGUUCAUGGAAUUUGUCGCAUGAGAAUUGGUUUUGGUUCAUGGGGAUUUUGGUCCAUGAGGUUUGAUUUUGUUCAUGGGAUUUUGAUUUUGGUUCAUGGAUGAUUUGUCCCGAUAGGAUUUGGCCCAUGAGGUUUAGUUUUGGCUAUGGGAUUUUCCAUGAGGUUUGGUUUUUAGGUUUAUUUGGGUUUGGGUUUUGAUUUUUUUUGGAUGGUUUGAUUUUGUGGUUCGGGUUUCGUCUUAUUUGUGGACUUUGGUUCAGGUUGGUUUGAUUUGAUUUAGUUUGGAGUUUUGGAUUUUAUGUGUGGACAUGGUUUGGAUUUUAUUUGAUUAUUAAUUGGUUAAGUUUGGGUUUUGGUUUGGAGUACCUGGUUUAGGGUUUAUUUGGGUUUGGGUUUUGAUUUUAUUUGUGGGAUGGGUUUGAUUUUGGGUUCGGGUUUCGGUCUUAUUUGUGGACUUGGUUCAGGUUGGGUUUGGAUUUGAUUUGGGUUUGGGUUUUGGUUUUAUGUGUGGAAUGGGUUUGGAUUUUAUUUUUGGACUUGAUUUGGGUUGGGUUUGCGUUUUAUUUGGGGAAUGGGUUUGGGUUUUAUUUGUAGACUUGAUUUGGUUUAGGUUUGGAUUUUAUUUGGAUUUGGGUUCAUAUGUGAACUUGAUUCGGAUUUGCAACUUGAUUUGGGGUCCGAAUUUGAUUUUUCAGUUUGAUUUUGAUUUGAUUUGGGGUCCGAAGAAAUCCCCGUUUGAUCUUGAUUUGAUUUGGGGUCCGAAGAAAUCCCCGUUUGAUCUUGAUUUGAUUUAGGGUUCGAAGAAAUCCCCGUUUGAUCUUGAUUUGAUUUGGGGUCCGAAGAAAUCCCCGUUUGAUUUCGAUUUGGAUUUGAUUUUCCAAUUCGAUUUGGGGUCCGAAGAAAUCCCCGUUUGAUUUUGAUUUGGAUUUGAUUUUCCAAUUCGAUUUGGGGUCCAAAGAAAUCCCCGUUUGAUUCAAUUUGAUUUGCGGUCCGAAGAAAUCCCCGUUUGAUUUUGAUUUGGGGUCCGAAGAAAUCCCCGUUUUGAUUCCAAUUUGGGGUCCGAAGAAAUCCCCAUUUUAAUUUUGAUUUGGGGUCCGAAGAAACGGGGAAUCAAAGAUUCCCCUCCCCUCCUCUUGCGAUGCUGCGGAUGACGUCGACGAAGUUGAUGACGGUGGCGUGGAUCUGUUCGGCCAUCGGAUUUGAUUUGACAUUUUCGAAGAAAUGUUGAAGGGUCCAAAGAAACGGGGAAUCAAAGAUUCCCCUCCCCUGUUCUUUCGAAAGUAUGAAACUAUCGAUGUUGUAGAUAAUGUCGAUGAAGUUGAUGACGGUAGUGCGGAUUCGUUUGGCCGUCGGAUUUGAUUUGAUAUUUUCGAAUAAAUAUUAAAGGGUCCGAAGAAACGGGAAAUCAAAGAUUCCCCUCCCCUCUUCUUUCGAAAGUAUCAAACCGGCGAUGCUGUAGAUGUCGUUGGUGAUGGUGGCGUGGAUCUGUUCGGUCGGCAAAUUUGAUUCAAUAUUUUCAAAAUAUUUUGAAGGGUCCGAAGAAACGGGGAAUCAAAGAUUCCCCUCCCCUCUUCUUUCGAAAACAUCAAACCAAAGAUGCUGGAGGUGGUCGUGGCAAUGUGGAUCAUCCAUCCCACCAUUAAUGACUUCGAAUGGGGUAUUGAGAGGUCCGAAGAAACGGGGAAUCAAUGAUUCCCCUCCACUCUCCCAUCGAAGCCAUCUAGAUGACAUGGAUGGCUACUAUCGCAGGACCAAAAAAAGGAAAAAGAAGGGGGAAGAAAAGAG